rnacentral:rRNA from 1 species
UACGUAGGGGGCAAGCGUUGUCCGGAAUCAUUGGGCGUAAAGAGCGUGUAGGCGGCCUGGUAGUCCGCUGUGAAAGUCCAGGGCUCAACCCUGGAAUGCCGGUGGAAACUGUCAGGCUCGAGUCCGGAAGAGGCGAGUGGAAUUCCUGGUGUAGCGGUGAAAUGCGCAGAUAUCAGGAGGAACACCAAUGGCGAAGGCAGCUCGCUGGGACGGUACUGACGCUGAGACGCGAAAGCGUGGGGAGCGAACAGG